ensembl:lncRNA
AAAGCCCUUAAUCUAGCAUACCACAACCAAAUUAAUUUUUCUAAAGUGCUACUUUGACCAAGAUGCUUCUCUGUUCAGAGACCUCAGCUCCUCAACAUGGCCUUCAACGCCCUCCACAGUCCAGUUCCAAAGAGCCUUUCCAGCAGUUUCAUACUAGAACUCUCCGUGUCACCCUAGCUUGCAGUUCUAUAUUAAUACAACCCAGAGGCUUGGUUGGUUUGUGCCCAACUCUUUUCAACCCCAUGGACUGUAGCCCACCAGGCUCCUCUGUCCAUGGAAUUUCCCAGGCAAGAGUACUGGGGUGGGUUGCCGUAUCCUACUCCAGGGGAUCUUUCCAGCCCAGGGGAUUGGACCCGCAUCUUGCGUCUUCUGCAUUGCAGAUGGAUUCUUUACCACUGCGUCACCUGGGAAGCCCCAGAGGCUCAGUAACAGAAGAUGGAUCUGGGCCAUCCAACUGCAUGGAACUGCCAACGGGAACCAAUGAAAGAAACAGGUUGCCAUGCCUUUGGGUAGCAGACGAAAUCAUUUACCUUGCUUCCUUUUCACUCACUACUUUGAGUAGACCAAACAGGUAUCAUUUUCCAUACAUUUUUCCUCUUCUUUGUAUUGGAUAUAUAUUUUUGUAGGUAACUGACAUUAUUUACUUACUAUAUAAAUGCUUAUCCAGAUCCAUUCAAUAAAUAGAGGCAAGGCAAGUCCUUUGGCUUGGAAGGGUAGAGUUCCACACUA